rnacentral:lncRNA from 1 species
AUGAAAGCACAGAAGUGAUGCAGGCACUUGCUGAGGUCACAGUCAUUGCCGGGGUGGGAGCGUUUGUCCCACAGCUGGUGAGCAGAGCUGGUGCUCUCGUGAGCGUGCUGCACAUGGAGAAUGAGCUCUGUGCUUUUUUUGAGAGAGAUCAUCCUGUGAGAGCCCACUGGAAGCACCGCUGCGGUGUGUGUGUGAGCUGGGCACAGCUUAGGCUGAGCAGGCUGAUCAAGUGAGCUGGGUUUGGUGCUGGCUGGUUGUUGGGAGGUAUCUCAGCAGAAAAGCUGGGCUGGGGAGGAAUUUCCAGCUCCAGCGGUGCCCUUCUGAAUGGCUGUUUCCAGGGAAAAUGGGUUCUUGUUGAAAUUCCAUCCCAUGAUUCAGUGAGGAUGAUGAAAUGUCAUUCCUCUCCUGGAAAAUUGCUGCUGGGCCCCCACCUUCAUGUCAGACCUUAAAAAGGAAGCAGAGCGCAGACUUCAUAGAGUGCAACUGUGUCUCACUGCUCCAUGGAUUGCUUGGUGUGCCAUACCCAGCAGGCGUUUCAGCAAACCGUGCUGAAGUCACGGCAGAGAGCCAGGUGCUCAGCUGGGGAAAAGGGGACCUGGGGGCACUUGCUGACAGAAGCCAUGGCAGUCAGACACAAGCUGCAGCUAGUAAUGGGCGGGCAGUUCUUGCAGCCAGCUGAUGUCUAAGCAUUGCCUUCCUCAAGAGACUACAUUGCAUGGCAGGAGAAAGCUGGGAAAAUGCUUCUUCCUCAUGAUUUUUCACUUGUUGAUACUUCAAGGUUUCCUGUUCAAAAGGAGAACUUGGAGAUCAGGGCAGUUGAAGAACGAGCGAAGCCAGCUCCUUCCAAGAGCGAGGGAGGUUCCUGUGGAGAGAACCCUCACACCUUGGGCUUCCUCUGACACUUCAGCCAUCAUGUCUCAGCAAGGAGAUGACCGUGGUUCCUAUUCCUGCUCUGUCAGAGGAAAGAAGCAGUGUGGUGCGGUUCCCCGUGUUUGGGAGCAGCAGCCAGCAGGCUGCCGGAGAUCCAACAGCACCUUGCAGCGCCCAGAGGGACACGAUGGGGA